AAGUAACACUCUGUGGCAGACAAUGUUGUCUGACUCAAUUUUGAGCUUGCUAUAGUAAAAGAAAGGCUAACCUAUUCCAGCGGUCGCUUUCAAGUGAGACUGUCUGUUAUAUAGACUUUGACAGG
rnacentral:snoRNA from 13 species